AUACGGAGGGUGCAAGCGUUAUCCGGAAUCAUUGGGUUUAAAGGGUCCGUAGGCGGACUAUUAAGUCAGAGGUGAAAUCCCACAGCUCAACUGUGGAACUGCCUUUGAUACUGGUAGUCUUGAGUUAUAUGGAAGUAGAUAGAAUGUGUAGUGUAGCGGUGAAAUGCAUAGAUAUUACACAGAAUACCGAUUGCGAAGGCAGUCUACUACGUAUAUACUGACGCUAAGGGACGAAAGCGUGGGGAGCGAACAGAAUUAGAAACCCCGGUAGUCC
rnacentral:rRNA from 1 species